GGAGCCUUUUGGGCACCAGUCCCAAUCAAAGUGUAAUAGGCUGGCUCAAAUGUCUACUAGGGUAAACUAACUCAGUUGGUCACCUAGCAUCACUGUGGAGUUUCCUGUGUGUGUUACAAUCUCAUUGGUAACCUGUGCAUGGCCAGGCCCGACCGCAUGGCCUUUGCCCUUGAAAGCUAGUCUGUGAAACAGAAGGGUCACCCUCUCUUGUAAGAGGUGCGGCCCCGAACGUUCGGUUAGAUUCUUGAUGCUUGGCGCGAAAUAAAGCUUUGCUUGGCCUUCAUUUUGUAUCAGUCUCGCUCCUUUAGUCACAGACCCAUUACUGGGGCAUAACAUAUGGGAGCUCUGUCCGGGAUUAAAUGACGAGAACUGAGCCAGCAUCAGAAUUUCUGGGAAAAGCCUCAAGGACAACAUUGAACACUGGUUAUUUUACCAAGGCUUUGACGGGAAUGUCAUAUUUGAAAAGACUCAGAUAUGACCAGACAGCUUAAAGGAACUAAGGUUGACUUUACAAAACCUGGAGCCGUAAAGCCCUUUGGAACUGUUGGCCUGAUACCUUGCUUACAGAGUUCCCAGCAGCCUCA
rnacentral:lncRNA from 1 species